AGUGAACGCUGGCGGUAGGCCUAACACAUGCAAGUCGAACGGCAGCACAGUAAGAUCUUGCUCUUACGGGUGGCGAGUGGCGGACGGGUGAGGAAUACAUCGGAAUCUACUUUUUCGUGGGGGAUAACGUAGGGAAACUUACGCUACUACAGAAUACGACCUACGGCUGAAAGCAGGGGAUCUUCGGACCUUGCGCUAAUGAAUGAGCCGAUGUCGGAUUAGUUAGUUGGCGGGGUAAAGGCCCACCAAGGCGACGAUCCGUAGCUGGUCUGCGAGGAUGAUCGGCCACACUGGACCUGAGAAACGGUCCAGACUCCUACGGGAGGAACCAGUGGGGAAUAUUGGACAAGGGGGGAAAGCCUAAUCCAGCCAUACCGCGUGGGUGAGGAAGGCCUUCGGGUUGUAAAGCCCUUUUGUUGGGAAAGAAAAGCAGCAGGUUAAUACCCCGCUGUUCUGACGGUACCCAAAGAAUAAGCACCGGCUAACUUCGUG
rnacentral:rRNA from 1 species